GUCUAACAGAGCACAGUCUAUUUCGUAAUAAUUCUAUUUUUGCGCACAGUAUGUAUACAGAUGUGUAAAUAGGCUUUGCGCAUUAGAACAAAGUAGAGCAUACUUGCGAAUUUUGAUACAGGGUAGUUCACAAAACACCGCAUUUUGACCGGUCGGAGAAAAUGCGUUGGAAACUAACAAAUUCCACCCACAUUUUAAAUUCUCUGGUUUACUAAAGCCAAACGUGGUCAGGAUUCAAUCAAUCCCACGGAUUCUGUAACAUUGUUUCGAAUGAGUUCGGAAAAUUAGGGACUUCCCUAACCGAAAUGAUCUACAGCACCGGAAUCGGAGCUUUAUCAAAAACCACCAAUCGAAUGUAUCAAGCAAGUGGGAACAUG